rnacentral:piRNA from 1 species
UCCUGUGGGCCUGUGUCUUGAGUUCACCA